AUUGAACGCUGGCGGCAGGCCUAACACAUGCAAGUCGAGCGGAUGACGGGAGCUUGCUCCUCGAUUCAGCGGCGGACGGGUGAGUAAUACCUAGGAAUCUGCCUGAUAGUGGGGGACAACGUUUCGAAAGGAACGCUAAUACCGCAUACGUCCUACGGGAGAAAGCAGGGGACCUUCGGGCCUUGCGCUAUCCGAUGAGCCUAGGUCGGUUUAGCUAGUUGGUGAGGUAAUGGUUCACCAAGGCGACGAUCCGUAACUGGUCUGAGAGGAUGAUCAGUCACACUGGAACUGAGACACGGUCCAGACUCCUACGGGAGGCAGCAGUGGGGAAUAUUGGACAAUGGGCGAAAGCCUGAUCCAGCCAUGCCGCGUGUGUGAAGAAGGUCUUCGGAUUGUAAAGCACUUUAAGUUGGGAGGAAGGGCAGUAAGCUAAUACCUUGCUGUUUUGACGUUACCGACAGAAUAAGCACCGGCUAACUCUGUGCCAGCCGCCGCAGUAAUAC
rnacentral:rRNA from 1 species